UUUGUAAAUAGCCGCAGUAUCUUGACUGUGCUAAGGUAGCAUAAUCAUUAGUCUUUUAAUUGGAGGCUGGUAUGAACGGUGAGACGAGAAAAAAGCUGUCUCUGGGAUAAAGGUCUUGAAUUUUAUUUUUGAGUGAAAAAGCUUAAAUGAAUUUGGGGGACGAUCAGACCCUUUGGAGCUUUAUUUAUUUCUUACUUACGAUAUUUUUAAAUAUAAAAGGCAGGAAGUAAAUUUUGUUGGGGCGACAGGGAGUUAAAAGUAUCACUCUUUUUUAUAAACACUUCUCAGUGGAUAAUUGAUCCUUAGUGAAAGAUUAAAAGAUUAAGUUACCCUAGGGAUAACAGCGUAAUCUUUUUGGAGAGUUCAAAUCGAUAAAAAGGUUUGCGACCUCGAUGUUGGAUUAAGAAAUUAGCAAGGUGCAGAAGUUUUGCUGGAGAGUCUGUUCGACUUUUAAUUUCUUACAUGAUCUGAGUUCA
rnacentral:rRNA from 1 species